rnacentral:snRNA from 1 species
GAUGAUCCAUUUGGAUGGAGAA